rnacentral:rRNA from 1 species
GAUGAACGCUGGCGGCGUGCCUAAUACAUGCAAGUCGAGCGAACAGACGAGGAGCUUGCUCCUCUGACGUUAGCGGCGGACGGGUGAGUAACACGUGGAUAACCUACCUAUAAGACUGGGAUAACUUCGGGAAACCGGAGCUAAUACCGGAUAAUAUAUUGAACCGCAUGGUUCAAUAGUGAAAGACGGUUUUGCUGUCACUUAUAGAUGGAUCCGCGCCGCAUUAGCUAGUUGGUAAGGUAACGGCUUACCAAGGCAACGAUGCGUAGCCGACCUGAGAGGGUGCGCGACCACAGUGGCACUGAGCCAGGGACAAGCCUCCGCGGGGAGGAGACAGAAGGGAUUCUUCGGAAAGGGGCGAAGGCCGAACGGAGCAGCGCGGGGGGAGGGAUAAAGGUCUUCGGACGUAAAAACUUUGUUAUGAGGAAAAAAAAAAUGGGAAAUUAUCUUGGCGCGUCUGGACGGAACCUAAUAAAAAAGCCACGGCUAACUACGUC